rnacentral:lncRNA from 1 species
CAGAGAUGUUUCUCACUAAGAGGGAAAGUGGCUAAGCUCCACAUGUCCAUUGAGCCAACUGACUCCAUUAGUAAAAGUCUCAAAAUGUCCUCGUGUUUGGCUAGAGACAACAGUAGAAGAGAUCUUAACAAUAAAAUUGUGGAUACAAAGAGAAGAAAUGAAGAAUUUAUAGAGAAGCGUUCACUUAUAAACUGUUCUGAAUGGAGGGAGAGAUCAUUCGCUGUAAAAUGUGCAUUUAGAUUUAGAUUUAGAGAGCAUUUAAGAAUAUUAUUGUGACACUGGGGAGGGGAUUCAUGAUCACUGUGCAACAAAUUACACAAGUGUGUAGUGGAAGUCAUAUUCUUUCUGUUCUGCCAUAUUCUCCUGGUUAGAAAUGAGUCACUAAGUUCAGCCCACAUACAAAGGAAAGAGAAUCAGACUCUAUGUUUUCAGGAAGAAGUAUUAAAUAAUUUCAAACAUUUAAAAACCAUCACAAUCUGCCCUCUCAACAAAAAUUAUUUACUCAUUCACACACAUAACAUAUACUCAGUCAUUCCCACUACAGUGUAGGUGAGCAGCAUUCAGCACUAGUACACUCAGGGCAGGGAACCCAGAGAAAGAUGCAUCCAUCCUACUGUUUCUACCACAUGCUCUCUCAGAUGUGUGACUAUCCUAGGUAGCUUGC